rnacentral:tRNA from 1 species
GCGCGAUUAGCUCAGCGGGAGAGCGCUUCCCUGACACGGAAGAGGUCCCUGGUUCAAUCCCAGUAUCGCACA